rnacentral:lncRNA from 1 species
AUGUUUCCAUAAGCUGGCAGUAAGUUUAAGAAGCAUACCAUGCCCUGAGGAAAAAGAAGUAAUGUUAGCUCUUCUACUCUUGGCCAAAGAACCUAAUUCUGUAUAUUACUUCUGUCUUUGGUUUGGCUAUUAUAGACAAUAAAUUAUUGAUCUGAUUAUAAUUGAGAAAAGUAAGCUCUUCUAAAGAAGUAAAAUAUGGAUCUAGGGAAAGGAAGUUAGCUCCCAGAGCAUUUACAAUUUCCCAGGAAUUCUGUGACUUUACCAACCCUAGGCAGUGCUGAUACUUUAAAAGCAUUCAUUUCACUUGCUUUUUUUUGGCUCACCCCCUAUCCCCCAGGUAUACAGUACUCUUACAUAAUUGUGGAAGAAUCUUACAAGGGGGUAAUGUAGAUCAGACUUUCCUGCUUUCAUUUUUAACCUCCCUAAAUUAUAAAUAUUUAUUUUGUAGGUAUUAUAGCUGCAAAUGUCCUUGUAUUCUGUUUAUGGAGAGUACCUUCUCUGCAGCGGACAAUGAUCAGAUAUUUCACAUCGAAUCCAGCCUCAAAGGUCCUUUGUUCUCCAAUGUUGCUGUCAACAUUCAGUCAUUUCUCCUUAUUUCACAUGGCAGCAAAUAUGUAUGUUUUGUGGAGCUUCUCUUCCAGCAUAGUGAACAUUCUGGGUCAAGAGCAGUUCAUGGCAGUGUACCUAUCUGCAGGUGUUAUUUCCAAUUUUGUCAGUUACGUGGGUAAAGUUGCCACAGGAAGAUAUGGACCAUCACUUGGUGCA